AUUAAUCAAUUUGUAUGUGAUAUACUUAAAAAAUUGAUAAUUUUUAUAAGAAAAUUUGAAAACAUCGUAUUGGGAUCCGAAACAAAUAUAUGAUUAGCAGCUCUUUACCACCGCCGGCCAUCCAAUCUCGCCGUCGAACAUGGUCAGUUAUUUUCCCGCGCAUCUCGUUCAUCUAUGAUUCGCAGCUUUUCUCCAGAGUCGUCGAUCGAUUUCCCCUGUCCUCUGAAUUGAACCAUAUCUUCGUAUGAUUCCGUCGUCGGAACUCGAUCUGAUCGAGUUGUUUUUUGAAUUUGAAUUUGAAUUUGGCGAUGAGCUGUUCCUGUUUAAAUUUGAAUUUGAAUUUGGUUUGUUUGUAAUGAAGACUACGUCAAAGAGGCUUGCGGAUAGGAAGACAUCCAAAUUCCACAUGAACAUUACAAAGAGAGGAGCUGUUCCUGAUACAAACACAAAGAAGGAUUACCCAGUCGGCCCUUUCCUCCUCGGAUUCUUCGUGUUCGUCGUCAUCGGAUCAUGUAAGACUCCAAUCUUACCACAAUCUCGAUCACGAUCUCUUCAACUGCUAAUCGUAAAGUUUCUUUCAUUUUGUGUAAACAGCUCUGUUCCAAAUUAUCAGGACGGCGAACAAGCGGAGGCAUGGCUUAAAGAUCGUUUAUUUGGUUCCUUUUUUCAUUGUUCUUAGCCUGAAGAGUAAAGUUUAGAGUAAGUUGAUUCGUGGACUUUGAUUUCCGAAAUCUAUAUCAACAGUUUCAGUUGAAAUCCAAUAGUUAUUCGUUGAGCAAAUUCAUGGUUAUUACACGGUUCUUCAUUCAAAGUUAAACAUGCUCGGAUGAGAUUUUCGGAUGACAUAUUUGUACAUAACUGGUUACAUUAAUAAGAACUAGCUACACAAGCAAUACCUAUGAUGAAUU
rnacentral:lncRNA from 1 species